rnacentral:lncRNA from 1 species
GAACCUUCCAUAGUUAUGGGAGAUACCGGACAAGUACAAACAUCAGUGCACACGCCGUUUGUUCGUCGGUUCAUCGAUCUGGCCUCAUGGCAGAUGAAUCCCAGGGCCGACAAGACCGAUAAAUAAACCCUGGCUAAUACGGAAAACACCGUUCGGCUCGUGCAGAUUAUUCUGAUGUACACAAGGUAGACUGCUUUUGUUUUUGUUUUCGCGGUCACAAGAAAACACACUUCACAACCAGGGUGAUGCUUCCUAAGGGACAACAGAAAAAGGAGUGGGGAACAACACUUGCCACCGAUCGUUACAGGUUUCGACGCCG